UUUGGGAAAUACGAGCUGAAGCAUCAUCUUCAUCUAAUGAGUUGGUCUCCUGCAAGCUACUCCAGAUCGCAGUUCCCGAGAAACUCCCAGGCCUCCGUGUCCCCUGACCGGCCUGAGGGGCCCGCGGCCUUGGCCAGCCGUGGGUCACAUUGCAUGACCCGAUGCUCUGUGAGCUGCCUUCGUAGGCAGGGACAGCAGCGCUCUGGGCUUCCACGCACUGGGUUCUCCUGUUACCCAGCCCCGCCCCCCACCCCCGCCCACACACACAGGACUUCUCCUCUUUAUUUUGGGAUAUUUUUCUUUGGUUCUGAUUCCCAGGCUGCUUCCUGGCUACACAACUCUGUCUCCUCUAGACCAGAAUUCUGGUUCCCACGCCGGGUCUUGGGGACCGUGGCGAUCGCUGCCUGUCAUGGAAACUUCAGAGGGCAUCCCACGCACCGUGUGACUGUCUUAAAGCAAGUGACAGCAAGUGCUGGCGGGGGCUCAGAUUACCUGGUAUGGCAAGACCCCACUUUCCGAUACGGAGAAAACAAGAAAAUUUAGGAGCAGAGGACUGAGGAGCAGGUGCAGGGGCCAUACACAGUGGGCCUGGAACCUCCUGUGAUCCGCCAGCACCCGCGGGAGAUGGGCCACACUCCAUCACACGCUGGUACUGAGCCCGCAGAGAUGAGAAGCAGGCCACGGGGUGACCCAGAGGAAGCCAGGCCUGCCUGUGUGUGGUGAGGCACAGGGCCUGCCGAAUGGAAGCAAAACACACAGGGACCUCCCGCCGGCAGCGAGCAGGAGGGAGGGGCAGAGUCACCUGCACUGGAUGAUGUCGCUGAGGCUUUCUCUGGGGUUACGCUAAAGGGCCUCAUAGAACCAAGCAGUAAUGAUUUCCUGGGUCUCUCAUCCUGGAACCCCAGUAAAUUAGAGGCCUCUAAUAUCUGAAUGUGCAUAUCCCAUUGAAAUGAUAAAUGGCUUAUCCUGCUCUAGGGAGCUUACAGGCAGAUAGAGGGGCAGGUGAGGCUGUCUCAGGAGAGGCAAAGCUCCAGGCUGGGCAUGCACACUGGGGCUAGAAUUCAGUGACAGAUGAGCUCUGGGAGGCUGAGGCACAGGCAGGGUGCAGGAGGCCAGGGCUCUGCAGCUGGAGGUCACUGGCUAAGAGCCUUGGUUGGGGCUCUGCGCCCACAUUUGUCUUGACCUUGAAUGAGCCACUCCUCUCAGGGUGUGUGCAUUUGGGCUAUGCCGCCUUCAGAGGUGGCCGCAGGUGGACUGGCCCUUCGAACACAGGUUCAUGGUUGGAACUGUCAUGGAAAAGGAAGAAUCCUUCAUUUUCAUCCCCUAUUUAGCCACCAGCAGGGCCCAGAGCCCUUCUCCAUGUUGCCUGUGCAAACACAGUUUUCCAGCUGAUAAGACAAGGGCAGAUCCUGGAUUUGCAGCCCCAUGAGUCUCCACCAGCUCAAGCACACCUUGGUUCCGUAGGUGUCAGCUGCCUUCGUUGCAUCAUAAUUAAUGCUGAUCGUUACUUGGUAGGCAUUUUAACAGUCUUGGGGGCCCUGUGACUUGCAUAAGGCCCAGUUAAGUGGGACUCAGAUGAGGCCUUGGAGCCUGCAGCUUCAUCCAGGAGCACCCGUGAGUGGUGCGAGAGGGGCAGGCAGUGAGAACAGAGGGCUGGGGCCUAGGGAGGUUCUUGGGAGCCCCUGCAGCCCCCUUCUUGCUUUCUCUCCCCUUGGUGCUUUCACAGCCACUUUCCAGACGUUCCGCAUGCCCGGGGCUUUCGCUUUCCCAGGGUCUGGAUUUCUGGAUUGUGCCCCUGAUUUUUCUUUCCCGGGUUUCUCCCCACAGUACGGUUUAUUUCCUUCAUUUUCCAUGCCAGCAGGAUACUGCUCUUGGCUUGCUGUCCAAUGCUGGGGAAAAUGAAUGCAUCAACUCAUGAGGCAAGCUCCAAAGGUGCACUGGGGUAUACGGCCCUGAGGUGAGCAGACACGUGGGAGGGAAGGUAUGAAAUCCAGAUCUGGAUUCUUAUGAGGAAUUUCAGGUAUUCUGGCUGACAGCUGAAAUAUUUAAUUGAACAAACAUUUCCCAGCUCCCUCAAUUCACUGCACAGAGUUCUACCCUCUCAGCCUAGACCAGAGGCAGGCCCUCCUGGUGGCCGCCCCUCCCGAACGCCUCACAGGAGCCUGUCUCGGUUUGGAGCUGUGCUGAGCUCUACCGAUUAGCAGUUUCUUUCGUCAUUUUAACGUAGGGUUUCCUGGGUCAGCCAGAGACCUGCAUAUCUAAAACGCUCUUAUGUCUGCAGGCGAAAGGCUCCUGAUUUGUAAGGCUAAUGAGGAUUUUAGAACAUUUAACAGAGGUUUUGAAAAUUUGGAAACAAUGCAGCUGUUAUCUUUCAGCGCAUCCUUGCCCUUCCGUUUCCUGGAUGAGUUCUCCUCCCCCGGGGACUGUCUUCUCUCAUCUCUUUGAAUUGUACACAGGCCCCCCAGUGGAUGGCACCUGCUGCCCUGCCAGCCCCAGCCAAACCUCUCCUUGCUCGGUUUUAUCCUGUUCCCAGGAGGAAACUGAUCUUUCUUUAAUCAAAGCUCAAAUCCGUGCACUUCACAAGACCAGUCCCCAGCCCGCCCUCGUCCACGGUCUAGAAUCUUUGGCCAGAAGUUGACUGUGUUUUUCAUCUCCUGCUGGACGGUCAGCUCUGGGGCUAGAAAAGCCUGGAGAGAUGGUAAGAGCAGCCAGGACAAAGAAACAGAAGACUCUUCUUGCAAAGAAUAAAAGGAGUGUCUGCUGUGAGCCUCGGGAUGGGUGAGGAAAGCUGCCACACCCUUCUGCCACUACAUCUACACAGACGCACUUUCUUUGGAUACAUCCACAACAAACUUUUCCUCGUAAAUUUCCACGUGUGAAUGAGGUCAGUCGCGGGAGUGAUGCUGAAGCACAUCUGACGUGUCCUGGAGGCUGAUUAGAGGCAGCAGCCCAGGCCCACUCAGAUGCCCGGGGUGACCUGACGCACAUCACCCUCUUCUCGCAGAUCCCGGGAAGGAAACCAGUGAGGCUCGUGCGUUACAGGGCAUGAGGAAAUUACAGACUCUGAAGUUUGUGAGGCCAUCUUAAGUGAUUUUCAAGGGCAUCAUCUAUACUCCAGCAAGCACUGCAACCAUCGUUUUACACAGAAAAAGCAAUUCUGGUCGAUUACAAAAGCCUCCACUGCCCAGAAUAUAAUUCGACCUGGACAUGUGCUGGUGUCAGACUCCAGAAAGUGCAUUCUGUCCGGCACAGACAACCUGGGAAUCAAAAGUAAAGUGGUUUCUACUUAUUUGAACCACGAACUGUGCACACAGAAACCUUCUUUCACUUAGGAUUAAGUGUUUUCCUUCAAACGCCUCUUGAGUGACUCGCUAUCAAUUCAGAAAGGCCACCUGUCCAGCAGACAGCAAAGAAAAACAGCCUAGCUUUGUCUCGGGAAAAAAACUCGUCUUCCUGUCUCCCUUUCUGGUUCUGCACCGAAAGUCAAGCACCUUCCCCAGACACCAGAGUGCGAAUGCAGGAGCUAAACCCUCCUGCAAAGACACGGGAUGGUUCUAUUGAAAAAUAACUGUGCCUUUUUAAUGUUUUGCUUCUGUAUUUUAUAACAGCUCUCUGGUAGCUGAUGCCCGCUCCCUUUCCAACGCUCAGUGCCGUUCCUCCUUCCUCUGCUCCCUCAGACGGAACCGGGCUGGCUGCCUCUGUUCUGAGAAGCCUGCGGCUGACUGUGGGCUUGACAUGAGAUAUUUAUCAUCUCAGGAUGUCUUCCCUCAGAUCGCCGGCUCUCCACCCCCAGACUUCUUUAUCUUAUUUUGCUAAACAAGAUGAGUUUCCGUCACUGCUAGAAGUAAUUGACUUGUUUUUUAAUAUAUAUCAAGGCCCAGGUUAACAACUGGACAAUGCAAUGCAUUUAUUAUUCUCUCUCUCUUGUUUAUUCUAGUGUGAAAUUGUUUUCCAGGUAGUGAUUAAUUCUGCCGAAGCUUCCUGCCCUUGCUGGGUAAUUUGCUGUGUUUGGGAAGAAGAUGCUCACUGCACAGCUCUGCUGUCAGAGGUGUCCCUACUGCUUUGUCAAACGCUCGCGCCUCUGUUGUCUUCUGCCAAUCCGUCAGGCCUGUGGUCCUUCCCUCAUUUCCCGGUUCUGAGUUUCCUGUGGGGACGACUGAUGCGGGGUCUGUGGGGAGACUGUGUCAGGAGGCUGGGGUGGGCUGGGGAGGGCCCCUGGCGGUGGCUCCAAGGCAUCUCCGCCGUAAUGGGGAACAGAGUGGCUGGCUGCCCCAGUGUCAGCCGGUUCUGAAAGUGGGAAUGACUCAGCUGAGCUGAGAUGUCACUGGUGGAGACUCAGACUGAGGAUUCUGACUCCCUGGGCUGAGGAACAGCAGUGCUGGGAACACGGGGCGGACAAGGUAUGACGAAGCUGGAGAGCCUCAUAUUAUCCCCAUGGAAGCGGCGACGGACCCCCAGAACCAUUCCUGGGCCGUGGGAGCGAGGACGCUGGGGGCACAAGGACGAGCUGAAGAAGUUGUCCCGAUUGUGGCUGUCGGAGGGAGGACGUGGCUGUCGGAGGGAGGACGUGGCGUCGUGGUGGGCCAGAGUAUCAGCCUCAACACCACCCACCCCUCAGGCCGCAGCCCUCCCCGUGGCUGCUGUGUGCACUGGAGGGCACUUGGCAGCAUCUCCAGCCUCCCCACUAAGAA